rnacentral:rRNA from 1 species
GAUGAACGCUAGCUACAGGCUUAACACAUGCAAGUCGAGGGGUAACGAGAGGAAAGCUUGCUUUCCUUGUCGACGACCGGCGCACGGGUGAGUAACGCGUAUCCAACCUGCCCCCAACUAGGGAAUAACCUUGCGAAAGUAAGACUAAUACCCUAUAAUUUCCUCAGAUGUCAUCUGACGAGGAAUAAAGAUUUAUCGGUUGUGGAUGGGGAUGCGUCUGAUUAGCUUGUUGGCGGGGUAACGGCCCACCAAGGCAACGAUCAGUAGGGGUUCUGGGAGGAAGGUCCCCCACAUUGGAACUGGGACACGGUCCAAACUCCUACGGGAGGCAGCAGUGAGGAAUAUUGGUCAAUGGGCGGAAGCCUGAGCCAGCCAAGUAGCGUGCAGGAUGACGGCCCUAUGGGUUGUAAACUGCUUUUAUACAGGAAUAAAGUUAGCCACGUGUGGUUAUUUGUAGGUACUGUAUGAAUAAGGACCGGCUAAUUCCGUGCCAGCCGCCGCCGUAA